AUUAUUAGUUAAUGCAAGAUCGACUACGUCGACUAAAGUUCUAGGUAGAAUAAUGAUGAUGACAAUUUUUUACCUAUAUGUCUUGACCAAGUCUCGUGCCAGCAGUCGCGGUAAUACGUGGAAGACUAGUGUUAUUCAUCUUUAUUAGGUUUAAAGGGUACCUAGACGGUAUUUCUAGCCCAAAAUAGGGUACGGAUUUACUAGAGUUUUAUGUGAGGAGGGGAGUACUCGUGGAGUAGAGAUGAAAUUUUGUUAUACUAUGAGGUAACUGGUGGCGGCGAAAGCAACCUUCUAUGUAUAAACUGACGUUGAGGGACGAAGGCUUGGGUAGCAAAUAGGAUUAGAUACCCUAGUAGUCCAAGCAGACAAUUCUGAAUGCCAUAGAUUAGAUUAUUUUUGUCUAUAAAUGAAAGUGUAAGCAUUCCCCCUUAGGAGUAAUGUGGGCAACACAGGAACUGAAAUCAUUAGACCGGUUCUGAACCAGUAGUGGAAGUAUGUUUUUUAAAUUGAUGGUCCACAAAAAACCUUACACAACUUGGAUAUUUUUAAUUAAUACAAGCGUUGCACGGCUGGUCUUCAGUUAAUGUCGUGAGAUUUUGGUUAACUCCCAUAAUUAACGGAAACCCUU
rnacentral:rRNA from 1 species